AUUGAACGCUGGCGGCAGGCCUAACACAUGCAAGUCGAACGAGUGGCGGACGGGUGAGUAAUGUCUGGGAAACUGCCUGAUGGAGGGGGAUAACUACUGGAAACGGUAGCUAAUACCGCAUACCAUCGGAUGUGCCCAUAUGGGAUUAGCUAGUAGGGGGGGGAAAGGCUCACCUGGGCGACGAUCCCUAGCUGGUCUGAGCGGGUGACCGGCACAACUGGAACUGAGACACGGUCCAGACUCCUCCGGGAGGAAGCAGGGGGGAAUAUUGCAAAAGGGGGGCAAGCCUGAUGCAGACAUGCCGCGUGUAUGAAGAAGGCCUUCGGGUGGUAAGGUACUUUCAGCGGGGAGGCGUUACCCGAAGAAGAAGCACCGGCUAACUCCGUGCCAGCAGCCGCGGUAAUAC
rnacentral:rRNA from 1 species